rnacentral:misc_RNA from 1 species
AACAAGGCGUACCUGCGGACCUGCGGAGGGAUCAUUAACACGUAUCCAACGUUUAACCACCCGUGCACCUUCAUGAAUACCGUCGCUGCGCGAUUCUUGUGGAGAUUGCUUUCGGGUUGUGGCUGGACAGAGAGAGUUGAAAUACGUCUUGAGAGACCAAGUGGCUAGCAGAAGGACGAGGGAAGCGAGAGUGUGGAGGUAGCGAUGCGGUGCCAUCGGGUGCUGCGAGCAUGCCUUCAG